AGAGUUUGAUCCUGGCUCAGAACGAACGCUGGCGGCGUGGAUAAGACAUGCAAGUCGAACGCGAUUUUCUCGGUUAGCAAUAACUGAGAAAAUUGAGUGGCGAAUGGGUGCGUAACACGUGGGAAUUUAUCCGGAAGUGGGGGAUAGCUUGCCGAAAGGCAAAUUAAUACCGCAUAUGCCCGUAAGGGCAAAGUGGGGGACCGCAAGGCCUCACGCUAUCGGAGGAGCCCGCGCCCUAUCAGCUAGUUGGUGAGGUAAUGGCUCACCAAGGCUUAGACGGGUAGCUGGUCUGAGAGGACGACCAGCCACACUGGAACUGAGACACGGUCCAGACACCUACGGGUGGCAGCAGUCGAGGAUUUUUCUCAAUGGGGGCAACCCUGAAGGAGCGACGCCGCGUGGAGGAUGAAGGGCUUCGGCUCGUAAACUCCUGUCACCGACGAACAAGGCAUCCGAAUUAAUAAAUCGGAUGCUUGAUGGUAGUCGGAGAGGAAGGGGCGGCUAACUCUGUGCCAGCAGCCGCGGUGAUACAGAGGCCCCAAGCGUUGUUCGGAUUUACUGGGCGUANAGGGUGUGUAGG
rnacentral:rRNA from 1 species